rnacentral:rRNA from 1 species
AGUCGAACGGUAACAGGAAGMAGCUUGCUKCUUUGCUGACGAGUGGCGGACGGGUGAGUAAUGUCUGGGAAACUGCCUGAUGGAGGGGGAUAACUACUGGAAACGGUAGCUAAUACCGCAUAACGUCGCAAGACCAAAGAGGGGGACCUUCGGGCCUCUUGCCAUCGGAUGUGCCCAGAUGGGAUUAGCUAGUAGGUGGGGUAACGGCUCACCUAGGCGACGAUCCCUAGCUGGUCUGAGAGGAUGACCAGCCACACUGGAACUGAGACACGGUCCAGACUAAUACGGGAGGCAGCAGUGGGGAAUAUUGCACAAUGGGCGCAAGCCUGAUGCAGCCAUGCCGCGUGUAUGAAGAAGGCCUUCGGGUUGUAAAGUACUUUCAGCGGGGAGGAAGGGAGUAAAGUUAAUACCUUUGCUCAUUGACGUUACCCGCAGAAGAAGCACCGGCUAACUCCGUGCCAGCAGCCGCGGUAAUACGGAGGGUGCAAGCGUUAAUCGGAAUUACUGGGCGUAAAGCGCACGCAGGCGGUUUGUUAAGUCAGAUGUGAAAUCCCCGGGCUCAACCUGGGAACUGCAUCUGAUACUGGCAAGCUUGAGUCUCGUAGAGGGGGGUAGAAUUCCAGGUGUAGCGGUGAAAUGCGUAGAGAUCUGGAGGAAUACCGGUGGCGAAGGCGGCCCCCUGGACGAAGACUGACGCUCAGGUGCGAAAGCGUGGGGAGCAAACAGGAUUAGAUACCCUGGUAGUCCACGCCGUAAACGAUGUCGACUUGGAGGUUGUGCCCUUGAGGCGUGGCUUCCGGAGCUAACGCGUUAAGUCGACCGCCUGGGGAGUACGGCCGCAAGGUUAAAACUCAAAUGAAUUGACGGGGGCCCGCACAAGCGGUGGAGCAUGUGGUUUAAUUCGAUGCAACGCGAAGAACCUUACCUGGUCUUGACAUCCACGGAAGUUUUCAGAGAUGAGAAUGUGCCUUCGGGAACCGUGAGACAGGUGCUGCAUGGCUGUCGUCAGCUCGUGUUGUGAAAUGUUGGGUUAAGUCCCGCAACGAGCGCAACCCUUAUCCUUUGUUGCCAGCGGUCCGGCCGGGAACUCAAAGGAGACUGCCAGUGAUAAACUGGAGGAA